AAGAAAGAUUAAUACCCGAUAGUAUAAUUAGACCGCAUGGUCUUAUUAUUAAAGAAUUUCGGUUAUCGAUGGGGAUGCGUUCCAUUAGGCAGUUGGUGAGGUAACGGCUCACCAAACCUUCGAUGGAUAGGGGUUCUGAGAGGAAGGUCCCCCACAUUGGAACUGAGACACGGUCCAAACUCCUACGGGAGGCAGCAGUGAGGAAUAUUGGUCAAUGGGCGCAGGCCUGAACCAGCCAAGUAGCGUGAAGGAUGACUGCCCUAUGGGUUGUAAACUUCUUUUAUAUGGGAAUAAAGUUUUCCACGUGUGGAAUUUUGUAUGUACCAUAUGAAUAAGGAUCGGCUAACUCCGUGCCAGCAGCCGCGGUAAUACGGAGGAUCCGAGCGUUAUCCGGAUUUAUUGGGUUUAAAGGGAGCGUAGGUGGACAGUUAAGUCAGUUGUGAAAGUUUGCGGCUCAACCGUAAAAUUGCAGUUGAUACUGGCUGUCUUGAGUACAGUAGAGGUGGGCGGAAUUCGUGGUGUAGCGGUGAAAUGCUUAGAUAUCACGAAGAACUCCGAUUGCGAAGGCAGCUCACUGGACUGCAACUGACACUGAUGCUCGAAAGUGUGGGUAUCAAACAGGAUUAGAUACCCUGGUAGU
rnacentral:rRNA from 1 species